rnacentral:rRNA from 1 species
GACGAACGCUGGCGGCGUGCCUAAUACAUGCAAGUAGAACGCUGAAGAGAGGAGCUUGCUCUUCUUGGAUGAGUUGCGAACGGGUGAGUAACGCGUAGGUAACCUGCCUUGUAGCGGGGGAUAACUAUUGGAAACGAUAGCUAAUACCGCAUAACAAUGGAUGACACAUGUCAUUUAUUUGAAAGGGGCAAUUGCUCCACUACAAGAUGGACCUGCGUUGUAUUAGCUAGUAGGUGAGGUAACGGCUCACCUAGGCGACGAUACAUAGCCGACCUGAGAGGGUGAUCGGCCACACUGGGACUGAGACACGGCCCAGACUCCUACGGGAGGCAGCAGUAGGGAAUCUUCGGCAAUGGGGGCAACCCUGACCGAGCAACGCCGCGUGAGUGAAGAAGGUUUUCGGAUCGUAAAGCUCUGUUGUAAGUCAAGAACGAGUGUGAGAGUGGAAAGUUCACACUGUGACGGUAGCUUACCAGAAAGGGACGGCUAACUACGUGCCAGCAGCCGCGGUAAUACGUAGGUCCCGAGCGUUGUCCGGAUUUAUUGGGCGUAAAGCGAGCGCAGGCGGUUUGAUAAGUCUGAAGUUAAAGGCUGUGGCUCAACCAUAGUUCGCUUUGGAAACUGUCAAACUUGAGUGCAGAAGGGGAGAGUGGAAUUCCAUGUGUAGCGGUGAAAUGCGUAGAUAUAUGGAGGAACACCGGUGGCGAAAGCGGCUCUCUGGUCUGUAACUGACGCUGAGGCUCGAAAGCGUGGGGAGCGAACAGGAUUAGAUACCCUGGUAGUCCACGCCGUAAACGAUGAGUGCUAGGUGUUGGAUCCUUUCCGGGAUUCAGUGCCGCAGCUAACGCAUUAAGCACUCCGCCUGGGGAGUACGACCGCAAGGUUGAAACUCAAAGGAAUUGACGGGGGCCCGCACAAGCGGUGGAGCAUGUGGUUUAAUUCGAAGCAACGCGAAGAACCUUACCAGGUCUUGACAUCCCGAUGCUAUUUCUAGAGAUAGAAAGUUACUUCGGUACAUCGGUGACAGGUGGUGCAUGGUUGUCGUCAGCUCGUGUCGUGAGAUGUUGGGUUAAGUCCCGCAACGAGCGCAACCCCUAUUGUUAGUUGCCAUCAUUCAGUUGGGCACUCUAGCGAGACUGCCGGUAAUAAACCGGAGGAAGGUGGGGAUGACGUCAAAUCAUCAUGCCCCUUGUGACCUGGGCUACACACGUGCUACAAUGGUUGGUACAACGAGUUGCGAGUCGGUGACGGCAAGCUAAUCUCUUAAAGCCAAUCUCAGUUCGGAUUGUAGGCUGCAACUCGCCUACAUGAAGUCGGAAUCGCUAGUAAUCGCGGAUCAGCACGCCGCGGUGAAUACGUUCCCGGGCCU